AUAUAAAGGAUCAUAAGAAUGCAGUUUUAAACAGGCAGGUGGGGGUGAGAAGUAUUAAAAAUUCAAAAGAAGUUUUAAAAUAAAGCAAGAAACAUAUGUUUAGAGGUAAAACAACGAAAGAGCAAAGUUUGAUCCUAGUUUUCAGUGAAUGUGAAGCGAAGAAUUCUUACAGAACAUGAGCUGGCAUUACCCUCAAACCAAGAGAAAGUUUGAGUAGGGGAGCAGUAAAACCGACAAGUAAUCUUAUUCUUUCCUUAAUGGGAAGCCAUUUCUUCAUUAUUAUUUUACAAAGUUUUUUAAUGAAGAGAAAGUAACCUUGAAAAACAACUUGGCAAUGCCAUUCCCAGUAGAGUUUUAACUCUGCUUUGCAAACUCGUUUACGGAGUAUGUUAAAGCUUGUCACAGACAGAAGAUUUUUCAAUCACAAUUUUAAUCUUCCUUUUAAGGAUUUAGGAGGGGGCCAGAGGAAGGAUGACGUGGGCAUACUUCUAUCUAGAAGAGAAGGAAACGACUCUGACUAAUCAUUUGUCCUUCGGGUAAUAGUCAAAAGCAGAUGUCUUAAGAAAGAGUGACCCAAAAUAGUAAUUAUUUUGGCCACUGUACUUACAAUUUUAAAGUUAUUAUUUUCCAAUUAAUCACAGAAACAGUUAACAUUUGGAAGUGUCAACAAAAUCCAAUAUAGAAAAAAAAAGAGAGAGAGAAGAAAGUACAC